rnacentral:rRNA from 1 species
AGUGAACGCUGGCGGUAUGCCUAACACAUGCAAGUCGAACGGACGCACAGUAAGCGCUCGCCCUUACGGUUGGCGACUGGCGGGUGGGUGAGGCAUACAUCGCCUACCUCUUUUUCUUGGGGGAUAACGUAGGGACACAUACGAUAAUACAGCAUACGUUGUACGGCUGAGAGCAGGGGAUCUUCAGACCCUGCGUGUCUCAUUGAGCUGAUGUCGCGCUGCAUUAGCUAGUUGGUAAGGUAACGGCUCACCAACGCAACGAUGCAUAGCCGAUCUGAGAGGGUGAUCAGCCACACUGGAACUGAGACACGGUCCAGACUCCUACGGGAGGCAGCAGUGGGGAAUCUUGCGCAAUGGGCGCAAGCCUGACCCAGCCAUGCCGCGUGAGUGAUGAAGGCCUUCGGGUUGUAAAACUCUGUUGUUAGGGAAGAAAAGCUGCGGAAGAAUACGUGGCUGUUCUGACGGUACCUAAAGAGUAAGCACCGGCUAACUACGUG